GAGUUUGAUCCUGGCUCAGGAUGAACGCUGGCGGCGUGCUUAACACAUGCAAGUCGAACGUGAGAGGUAGCAAUAUCUUGAAAGUGGCGCACGGGUGAGUAACACGUAGGUAACCUGCCUCGGAGUGGGGGAUAACAGUUAGAAAUGACUGCUAAUACCGCAUGAAUCCAUUAAGAUGGGAAUGUUGAUGGAGAAAACUCUGGUGCUUCGAGAGGGGCCUGCGGUCGAUUAGCUAGUUGGCGGGGUAACGGCCCACCAAGGCGACGAUCGAUAGCUGGUCUGAGAGGACGAUCAGCCACACGGGAACUGAGACACGGUCCCGACUCCUACGGGGGGCAGCAGUGAGGAAUAUUGGGCAAUGGGCGAAGCCUGACCCAGCAACGCCGCGUGGAGGAAUGAAGGCCUC
rnacentral:rRNA from 1 species